CACAGCGCAGGAGCUCUCAGACUACCUCAGAUGCCAAGAGCCUGGUUUGAAUACAAGCCUUGCCAUUGUGUGACUUUGGGCCAGUGUUUCCAGCCAUCAUGUCAGAGCUGAGUGGAGUGGCACUGGGUGCCAAGGCAAACACCCAGCCCAGCUGUGCUGGGAAGAACUGAGCUCCAAUGUGUCUUGUGACCCAGCUCCUCCCACCCACCUGGCUGUGUCUCCUAUCCUGCAGAGAUUUCUGGGGGCUGUUUCCAGUAAACAGAGUGCCAGCACCCACUAACCUGUAAAUAGCACCUUGUUCAGGGGGAGUGAUAUUCUUUGACUGUAUGAUUUGGGGCCUUGCUGCUCAAAAUGUGGUCAGCAGCAUUGACAUCACCUGGGAUCUCAUUACAAAUGCAGAAUCUCAGACCUCACUCCAGAUGUGCUGGAUGAGAAUGGCCAUUUUCACAAGCUCCCCAGGAUAUGUGUGCCUGUUAAAGUUUGAGAAGCACUGAUCGGAGGACUUCGGUUAUAAUCCCACCUCCUUCUAUAAGUGAUUAAAGAAAAUUCACUUAUACUCUCCUUUGAACAGCUGUAUGCUUCUCAAUUUCUCUCUCUCUCUCUCUCUCUCACACACACACACACACACACACACUUUAUUUUUCAAUCUCUAUAGACUUGCUUCUUUGUAAGGCUCUCAAUUUCUCCUCCCCAGUGACACAAGCUUGCAUGUGGAUAUAGCUCGUCAUGGUGCCUAUUUAUCUUCAACUUUAUGCAACCUUAGCACUCUUUUACUCAGAAACCUUUUGACUGGGAGAGCAGGGCAAACUCAAAUCCCUACAGAGACCAGGAAGGCAGCAUGGAUGAGUGCAGAAAGCUACAUUUGUUUCAGAAAGGAAUCAGUGUAUAUUCUUUCAGCAGACACAUUUAGUUUGUUUCUUAUAAGCCACUAGAAGAGUCAUUACUUUCACAAAGUCAUAUGCUUAUUCCCAUUUUUCAUAAAAUAUGGCCUAUCUUCAGUUUUCCCAGUUUUGAUACAGAAAAAAAUAUAAGAAAGAUUUUCUAUUUCCUAUAACUAUAAAAGCCCACUAAUAGCACCAGCACAGCCACCCCUGGGCUUCACACAGGGAGUGGCAGGAGCUGUGCAGAUGGAGAGUGCAUACUGGUGUGAAGGGGGCAAUGGAUCUCAGCUCCAGCCAUUGUCUUCAUGCAGGAAUUUGGGACCAUUUUACCGGAUCCUCCCAUUUCUUCAAGAGAAGCCGGAAAUCUGGAUUUCUAUGUGAAAUCUCCCACUUUUUUAUGCUGGCAACUAAUUUUCUUUAAACACUGUGCCAAACAAAACAUACCUGCAGGCCAAAAUCUACACCCUCUGGGCUGGAUUUCAAUGUCUCUUAAACUCUCAACAGAGAGCAUCUUACUGUUUCAGUUCAGGGUAGAUGUCUACCCAUGGUCCCAUCGAGUGGGGUCUGGAUAUGGAAUCAGCUAGAAGAAGCAUAGUCUAUGCCCAUUCUUUCAGCAGGGACUGUGGGCAGGAAACCAUUUCCAAAGAAGCAGGCAUGAGUUGGUGGCCAUACAAAUAUAUAUGUUAUAUUGAUAAAUAUAAAAACAGGAGAUUCUGGGGGACCACAAGUUUUUACAAAUUAGGCUUAUUUUAGGAUAAAUUCACCCUUGUUAGUGUGCAGUUCUGUGAGUUUUGAUAUACAUAUGCAGUCAAGUAACCACUCCCACAAUUAAGAUACAGAAUAAUUCCAUCACCCCCCAAAUUUCUUGUAUGCCCCUUUAUAGCUAGCCCCUGACCCUAACCUCUGGCAAUCACUAAUAUAUUCUCUUUUUCUAUAGGCUUGCUUUUUUUCAAAAUGUCAUAUACAUGGAAUCACACAGUUUAUAGCCUUUUGAGUCUGGCUUAUUUUACUCAGCAUAAUGCCUUUGAGCUUUAACCAUGUAAUUUCAUGUAUCAGUAGUUCAUUCCUAUGUAUUGCUAAGUAAUUUUCCACUGUAUAGAUGCACCACAGUUUGUUUAUCCAUUCACCAAUUAAAGCCAUAAUCAACUUCCAUGUAGAAGUUUGUGUGUGAACACAGUUUUAAUUUAUUUGGGGUUACUACCUAGGAGUGAGAUUCUGGGUCUUAUGGUAAGCAUACAUUUUACUAAGAAACUAUAAAACUCUUUUCCAAAGUGGCUGAACCAUUUGACAUUUCUAACAGCAAUAUUUGAAAGUUCCCAUUGCUCUGUAUCCUCUCCAGUACUUACAUGCUCAGCAUUUUGGUUUGGUCUGGUUUCAUUGUUUCUGAGCUCUUCUGAUAGAUGUGGAGUACACCCCCAUUUUGGAUGAAUUGUGCCAAAUGUGUAGACCAUCCUCAAAAUCUAAGGUCUCAGUAAAAACAAUUAAACAUGAUUUCUGAUAUAAUGUCUUAUCCUUGAAAACCCUGACCCAUCCAUCUUCAGCACAUUCACAUGUGUAAUAAGGUAAGUGAUUUUUAAUUCCACCAGGUUUAAAGACCCCUGACGUGACUUAUUGCCAUUCUGCUACUGAGCCUUGAGAGAUUAUGGUAAGUGCCAAGAAAAAAAAAAUGACUUUGAACUGCUCUUUCACCAGUUAAAAAUAACACUGAAACCAAAUGUAAACAUAAAAGAAGUGGUCAGAUUCGGGUUACAUAUUAACGGUGUUUGGUCAGGCUGGAGCUGAGGCACAGCAGCAGAGAAUGCCUUUUACUUAUCACUGUUUCCAAACCUCCCUACCUGGACUAGGCUUGACUGGAUUUACAAGAGACCUUUUGAAAAGAUGCAGAGAAGGCAAGCAGCACACAUUUCCUGGUAAUAAAUUUUAAAGGUUGCUAAAACAUUCCAGAGAUUUUCACUCAACAUUCCUCUGGCCAACACAUCUGCAAUCUGCCAAUCCUUAAAAAUAGGUGUUUUUGCAUUUUAAUCUCACAAACAUCUUUGAAAAUGCAUUUCUUCUCUGCCCCUGUGUUGGACAAAUCCAGCUUUUUCCAUUUUCUAAAAACCACAGAAAUAUAAUGCUGCUUAAUUCAUACAAGACUGAGCUAACUGGAGUUAAAAUAAAAUUUCUGAGAGUUUGUUUGGCUCACUCUUCCCUACCAGAUGAUUCCAUUCUUAAAACGGUCCUGUGAUUAUAUUCUCUCAUUACAGAGGUGUCCAGAAAAAAAAUAAGGAGUGCAGUUCUGAAAUUAUAUAAAAGCAAAAUUAUUACUCUAAACGUAAGAGCUGUGAUAGAUCGUGUCAUUGACCAUGGUUCUUUUCCCCUGACACACACGUCCCCACCACCCACCCACUGUAUCCAUAUGCCUUUUGCCAUAUGACUUUGCAGCUCUCCCCACUAAAGGGGCAGCCAUGCGAUUUGCUUUGGCCAAUGAAAUGAGGCAGUAGUGGUGGUAUCCUAGUUCUGAGCCUAGGUCUCAAGAAGUCUUAUGUGUUUCUGCUUAUCCUCUUAUACCUCUGCCAUCACCAUGAGCCAAACAUCCCCCAAGUAGCCCACUGGUCCCAGGACAAGGAGGGAGACAUGAAGCAGAGCUCAUCCAGCUGCUGCAGCCCCACUUGACCCAGAGACCUACACUGGGAAGCAGAGCUGCCCAGUCAAGUCCAACCUGGAUGUGUGGAACCCCAGCCAACCUGAUGCAUGAGCAGGAGAUCAGCUUAAUAUUGAAUCCUAGCCUCAAUGCUUUGGAUUUGUGCCAAGAAAAAUAACCUGAUCCCCAGAAUCAUUGAGAAUUGACGGGGGUCCUCAGGCUGUGACUCUGGACAGUGAACAUUGGUGGAAAUUGGUUAUCCCCAAUUUCCAGCUCACGGCAUUGGAAGACAUCAUAAACAUUAAUGGAGAGCGGGAUGCCAGAAUAAGUUGAUCCAAAUGAUGCAGGAAUAUUUAGCAGCAAGGAGAAAGGAAUUCACAUUUCUCAGUACCCACUAUGUGCCAUACUUUGUGAUAAGAUGGUUUCCCUCCAAUAUAUCCUCAUUGUCAGCAAUGUCGGGAAACAGGAAUCAUUUCCCCUUCUACAGGUGAUAAAACUGAAGCAAGAAACAUACAGGCUAACAUCAGCUGAGCUGAGAUUUGAACUCCACUCUUUUUGACCCUGGAGCUGAUGAAUGCUGCUUCUAGAGGUUGAGUAUCCCUUAUCCGAAAUCCUUGGAACCAGGAGAUUUUUGGAUUUGGGAAUAUUUGCAUAUACAUAAUGAGAUAUCUUGGAGAUGGGACCCAAGUCUAAAUACAAAAUUAUUUUGUUGUAUAUACACCUUGUACACAUAGACUGAAGAUAAUUUUAUACAAUAUUUUAAAUAAUUUUGUGCGUGAAACAAAGUUGUGACUAUGUCUUGACUGUAAGACAUCUUGCAUGCAACCCAUCAUAUGAGGUCAGGUGCAGAAUUUUCCAUUUGUGGUGUCAUGUUAGUGCUCAAAAAUUUUCGGAUUUUGGAGCACUUCAGACUUUCGUUUUCCAGACGGGGGAUGCUCAACCUGUCUUAGAACCUGUGGUCUCCCAUCAUGCCUCCCUUCCCCAUUCCCUUGCUCCACUGGGGUCUGAGGUGGGAAAGCAAAAGGAGUUGCAGGUAACCCUCACUUUUCACACCAGGCAAUCUCUCCCCACAAUCUGUCACAUUCCUGAAGAACAAGGAAGCAGAGCACUCCACUGAAGAAAUUCUGUUAAAAUCUAUCCCCAACGUAUAAGCAUCCAUCUUUGUCCCAGUCUGGGUCUAACAUGAACAAAGUGCUUAAACAAUUCAGUAGAGGAGAAAGGGAACUUGGAGCAGCUCUGUCACCCUGAAGUGACACUGCCAUGCUGCAUUUCCUGUCUGUAAUAUCUCUUCAGAGCAAUUGUUUUCUUCUGUGAGGACACUUCAGAGAUUCACAGAGACAGAUGCUCUUGUGACUGACCAUAGCAAGUAUCAAAAGGCCUGGGUGGAAUUACGAAGCAUUUCUCGUGCACUGCGUAUUGGGAAGUGCUUCACAGCUGUGUGGCAGAUGUGAGUGGACAGAGGGGCAAGGGAACUGCCCCAAAGGAGGUGGCAGAGGAAGCAACAAGCCAGGGAUUGGCUGGCCGGUCCCAGCACAGCAACUGCAGCAGCAGCUUGCUAAGUUUCACAGGUGAAGCCAAAGGCUGGGGGGAAUGGAAAACAAAUAUCACUCCAUUAAAUUAAGGUCUGAGGAAAACAUGAUGAGGAAAGUCAAUAGUGAAUCAAAACAUUGAAAAGCCACUAACUUUGACUUUCCAUGUGCGUGUGCAAGUUCACGUGUGCAUGUGUGUCUGCAUGUCCAAGUUCUACACUGAUUCAAGAAAUAAUUAUAGAGGGCCUGCCAUAGGAUGGUGAGCAAAACAGUCUUGGCCUCUGUCCUGAUGGAGCAUGCAGUAUCACAGACUCUAUAUGUUCUAUUUCUAGGCCUUGUAUUUUGAGGAUAUAUGCCAGUGGAAUGAGAAUGGCUCUGUGACCUUGUUUAAGUCCCACCACUGUCUCAGGCAGGGUUUUCCAAAGUGUAGUCCUUAUACUAUUAUGUGGUGAAGAUGCUUAAUUGUUUUGUAAUUAUUUAAUGUGCGUAGGUAUCACAUCAAACCCAGUAUUUUCAAGGAUUUUUAUAGCUUAAGACAAGGCUUGUUAUAGGCAAGGUGGAUCAAUUCAAAAAAUAUAUGCUAACAAAAUAAUAGUGGAGGUGGUACAAAGAAACAGCAAAGGUAGUGAGAUGGCUUCACUGGUGUUUGUGAAUCACCAAGAUAAUGCACGUGGAAAUAAAAAUCAGUGUGGUCCAUAGAAAUACAAGGGGUUCUAAUUACCCCUCAGUGAGCACUUGCUCUCUCACUCACCCCAGCAAUGACAUAUUAAGCAAAGCACUGCCCUGACUGCAUAUGCUCUUGCCGACAACUUGGCCAGCAUUCAGAAGACACUAAGUGUGCUCUGGGAACUUCAGAAGGCACUAACAUUCCAUGGAGAACUUCACAAAGAGUGAGACCUAGUCCCUGGCCUAAAGAGAGUAUAAUUUAGUAGGAAAGAGAAGACAAACACACAAAUAACUGUAAAAUGGGAUAAGCCCCAAAGUGGAGGUACAAAGUCCCAUAGAAGAGGCUCAAUGAUAAGUCACGCCUGCCGGGUAAGGUCAAGAAAGACUUCAUGGAGAUUUGAGAUGGCAUCUGAGAUAAGCCAGGAAAGACGGUAGAAUUUCAACAACCAAAAAAGUGGGGAGAGGGAUGGGAGGCAUUCCAGAGAAGGAGAAAUGCUUGAGCAAUGGUACAGAGACCAGGAAGUUAUAUGAGGGCAGAAAGUCCCUGCUGUCUAUUUAGCUGGGAUAUAGAAUGCAAGUCAGUUAGAUGAUUAGGUGGGGUUAUAACAUAACUAGCCUUAAAUAGUGGACUGAGAAUUUUCCACUUAAUUUAAUGCAAAUGGCAGGGGAGGGGGCAGGCAAUGGAGAGCUGAAAACAGGACUGGAGAUGCGCUGGAGGGAAGUAACCCUGGAAAUGGGUGAAGUACGGGUUACUGUCACCCCAGCUCUGGUUCUUGUUAUUCCCUAGGAGAAGCAUAAUAGAAGUGUGAAUUUAGGGUAGCCAAAUGAUGACUUUGCAGAGGGAAUCUUUAGGACUUGUGACUUGAUUAAAAGCAGGGAGAUGGAUAGGGAACGUCCAAGGAUAACUAGAUAACUAGAGCUCUCCUGUUCCUCUGACUCAUGUGUGCUGAAACUGUAGAGUCAAACAAACACUUGUAAGUGGCGUGAUGUAAAUCCCUUAGGGGCCCAUGCCUGCCUCAAGAGAAGAACGUGUGGUCAGGAAAAACGACCGGGGGAAGUGAAAACGACACAAGACCCAGAGGAUAACCCUUAUUUUAUUCACACAUGCAAAUUUAGGCACAGCAAAAAGCAAAACGAAGUAUACCAAAUGUCAAGGGUUAAUUAUUAAUCAUUUCUAUAUUAAAUUAUGAGUUUUUCAGUAAGACACUUUUUGAUAAGAAACUUGAAUUACGUUCAUAACCAUCAAAAUAAAGAAAAUAAAAGAGACAGAUUUUCUUUGGUGGUGGGAGAACAUUAAGUAUUGUGGAAGCCUGAAAAAUGGUCCCCAAAAGAAUCUGGUCCUAAUCCUUAGAACUUGUGAGUAUUAUCUUACUUGGAAAAAGGGUUGUUUUAAGAUAAGGAUCUUGAGUUGGGAAGAUUGUCCUGAGUUAUUCAGGUAGGCUGUAAAUGCCAUCACAGGCAACCUUUUUACAUGGAUAUUUGACACAGAGUGGAGGAGACACCCAUAGGAGAAGGCUAUGUGAAGACAUAGCAUCGAGACACUUGAAGAUAUUGGCCUUCAAAUGGCACAGCCACAAGCAAAGGAAUGCCAGCAGCCACCAGGAAAAAGCAAAGAAUGGAUUCUCACCUAAAGUCUCCAGAGGGACUGUAGAGUAUCCUGCCAACACCUUGAUUUUGACUCUGUGAAACUGAUGUCAGGCUUCUGGCCUCCAGAACUGUGAGAGAAGAAAUUUCUGUUGUUUUAAACCUUCGAAUUUGUGGUAAUGUGUUAGAGCAGCCACAGGAAACUCAUAUUCUAAACUAGCAACUAUGAAAUGAGAAUUUCUAGUGUUCAGCUAAGAUACCACCGCAGAAGCAGCUGGAUAAUAUCAGAUGAGCCGAAAACUUCUCUUACCCCAUUUCCUUAUCCAUAAAAUUAGCAAAUAAUACCUGUCUUGCAGAGUUAAUUUUAAAGUUAUACAAGUAAAUACACUUUGAAAGUGACAAGUACUAGAAAAAUGUAGGGAAUUAUCCUACAAGUCUGGGUAUCCCCACCACCCAAGGCACAUGAAUGAUGCACAAUAAAAUAUACAAUUGGUUAGAAAUAGAACAAAGUGUUGAAAGUGCUUCAAAGCUCGAAAUGUAGGGCAUGAGGAAUGAAGGAAAUUCAGUUCAGGAAUAAAAUAUUUAUUCAGCAUCACUAAUAAGCCAGGCACUCUGCCAGAACCCAAAGGUAUAAAGAGGAACAAAUGAUAAUUCCUGCCCUGUGGAUGGCUUAUAGUCUAGGGUAGCAUUUUUACAGUGUGUUCACAGACCACUAAGCUCUCAAAUUUCUAUUUAAAGAUGCCAAAGGACCCAAGAUCAAGUGCUAUAUUCUAAUAUCUACCCUCUCCAUUUCCUACCCCCUCCCACAACCACACUUUCUGUAGACUCACAAUGUGUUAGUUAAUUUAAGGCAUUGAGUCCUGUUGUUAAUAAGCUGACUUGCCCUUAAUUAUCACAGGCUUUUCCAAAUUUCCUUGACAUGCACUAACCAUUUAACCUUGGGGAAAAGAAUGGAAUAACAUUCUUGCCUGCCUGUUGUAGCUGUCAUCAUAUUUAAAUGUAAUAAAACAUGGAAAGUGUUUAAUAAUUAUGGUGCUCUAGGCAAAAUAGCAGUCCUUCAAAAAUGCCCAUGCCCUAAUCUCCAGAACCUGUGAAUAUGUUACCUGACAUUGUAAAGCAACCUUGUAGGUGUGAUUAAAGUUACAAGCUCUGAGAAGAGAAAAUUACUCUGGAUUAUCUGGGUGGGCCCAGCUUAAUCAUAUGAACCCUUAAAAGUGGAGAAUGUUUUCCAGCUAAGGUCAGAGAAAGAGACUUGACAAAGGAAGAAGGGUCAUAGGGAUGUGAUACCGCUAGCUUUAGAGAUGAAGGAAGAGGACCACAGCCAAGAAAUGUGGGUAGCCUCUGAACACAAUACAAGGCAAGGACACGGGCUCUCUCCUUGAGCCUCUAGAAGGAGCACAGCCAUAAGGCAUUCUUAAACUAUGUCGCUUACCUUACCUACCUCAUCCACUUACUACUUGUAUGGCUAAUGGCAUGAGGAAGUCACUAAAACUCUCCGAGCCUUCCUGGCCUCCACUUAAAUGGGAGUGGUACCCACAGAGGGUCAGGAGGCUCAAUCAAAUCUCAAAUUCAUUAUCUCUUGCUUCUCAUGCACAAGUCAGUGUCAGCAGGAGGCAUCAGUGCUUCUGCAAAAAUAACUAAUUCAACAUUACUUUGUCAGAUCACAACCCUUCUUUGCUAAAACCUUCCAGAGGCUCCCUGUCUCACUCACAGAACAACCUCAUGGACUUCCUCUGUUCUCAGGAUUCUCAUGACACAAUAUGACCCCAUUUCCUCUGACUAUAGGUCCUUCCUCUCUCCCCCUUCCUGAUGGUGCUCCAGCCAUACUGGCCACCUUGCUGUUCCUGAGGCACACCAGGCAGCUUCCAGCCUCAGGACAUUUGCACUUGCUGUUUUCUCUGCUUAGAGCCCUCUUCCCCCAUAUCCACAUAGCUUGCUCCCUCAACUCCUUUAGAUCUUCAUUCGGCUAUUACCUUCUUCCUGAGGCCUUCCCUAACAACCCUAUGAAAAUUGCAAUACCUGCCAGCCAAACAUUCCCCAUCCUCCCUUCACUUUAAUUUCCGCCAUAGUAAUUUCAUCUUCUCACAUGCUGCAUAUUUAACUGUUUUGUUUACUUUCUUUCCUCCAUUGGAAUAUAAGCUCUAUCAGGGCUUUUCAUGAAGGACAUGCAAGUAGAUGCUUGAUAAAUAUUUGUUGGAUAAAUAAAUCAGUGCAUAUACCAAUCUGAAGUCACAAAAUCAAUAUGAGCAUCACCUUCCACUAAAGACAUAUCCUUUCAGUUAUCGAUGAAAAAUGAAGUUGAAAACACAAUAAUCAGCCUGUCAUUGAACAAUGCAGCUGCAGCUAAGAUCAAGUUCUUGACUGACUUUGCCGAGCCCAACCAAUUCAAAGGAAGAAUAAAAACAUGGUCAAGGGACCCAAGACCCAGCUCUUAUCCCCUACUCAGAGAAAACCCAGAGAGAACCAGCCUUCUGAUGUCUUGUCCUUCCUGGUUUUGACCAACCUCUAAAAACCAUAAGAACAGUUUGUCUCAGUAUUUCAGUACUUCCGCUUCCAGGCCCAGGAAAGAGCAGGAAGUGCAGGGGCGUGUGAAAAUCAAGAAAAAAGAAGAAUUAAACCCGCUACACAUGAAGCGCUCAAAGACUUCCUCUGUAACCUGUUGCAGCACACGAGUUUCAAUGUGCUUUCACUGAGAGCCCAGGGGGACUGUGCUGUCCCCAGAAUUUCGCACCAUGCCCCACACUCUCAAUGAACACUUGUUGCCUAAAAAAAAAAAAUUAAAUUUUAAGACCUUCAGUUUCUCUAUUUGUAUAAAGUGAUUAUAAAACCUACCUUAUGGAGCUGUCUGAUGAUCACAUAUGAAAUCGCAUAUGUUAAGUGCUUAUGCAGCGUCUGGCACAUGAUCAGCAUUAAUUUUAUGUGAACUGCCAUUUUGAUGGCAGUGGUGGCGAUCUGAUGGUGGAGGAGGUUUAGUUAGCGCUGGGUAGAUUGUAACAUAUACCUAUCCUUAAUGAUUUGUUCAACCUGGAAUUUUGGACGGAGCCUGGGCCUGAGGAGUUGAACCUUAGAGUGAUCCAUUUCUCUUGGAAAAGUCCUGUUCAGUUUGAGCAAGAAACUCUGGAAAGGGGAAGGAUGUAUUUUAAUCCCAGCUACCAGGGUGACAGGCAGCAGAACUGAAACAGCAUGACUAAGCACAGACCAUCUCCUUUCAUUACAUGGGGGGCUGAGGUCUUUCCUCUCUACUGCCAGGGACUGGAGAAAGGAAAGAUACCCAGUUUAAUUGCAUCUGAUAAACGGAUAGUAAAGUCCAAGAGUAGACAAUUGGAAUAUUUCCCCAGCCUUUUUCCUGUUAGGUUCUCAAAGCUAGAAAAAAAAUGCUGAAUGUCUUUUCCCUAACUUCAUAUCGCCAUAUGAAGCCCAGCUAAGUUUCCCUUGAAGUUCACUAGCCCAUUUCCUCUGUAGGUCUACAGGGGCCACCUGCCAAUGUGCAGGGAUUAAAUGAAGAAAUAAAGACCUAAGGCCUUUCUAGAAGCUAAAAACCCUAGGACUCCCUAAACACUUUGGAGUUGCAGCUCCCAUUGGUUAAGAGGUAUGGAUCGCAUAGUUUCAAGCUGAGCCAUGCUUUUCGGAAUACUCUGCUUUUUCUCAUCUUUUUCCACUAUAGUAAUACUAUAAAUGAGAUCUCUUCCAGAAAUAAAGGCAGAAAGCCCCAAGCUCGAUGCUAAAGAUGUUUGUGACAGAGUUCUGCAAGAAUAGGAUAUUUGCAGUCUCGUCUGCGAUAAUCAUUUCAGAAGUGGCUGCUGAUACUGGUAGGUAUGCAGUCAGCAAUUGUGGUGGAAACGGGGAAUGUCUGCUCAAAGAGACAGAAUGUGCAAUGACUCAAAUGAUUUCCAGCAAUUGUCAAUACUAUUUGAUGUUAGUCAUUUAUGCUACCUUUUUCUUAUUUAUAGAUUCCUAGCUUUAAAUUAACCUCCCUGAUAUAUGGAAGUAAUUUGGUCAGUAAUAAGUUCCUUUGUUUUGGGUUUUUUGUUGUUUUUUUUUUUUAGGACUAUGUGGCAGAGGAGACUCCUGACUUUCACUUCUCUAAAUAACCAACAACUCCUCACUGUCCCUGUGUAAAGCUAUCAUGGCUGUGGGGAAGGAGAGACACUUCAAGGACAGCUCAGAGCAAAGUACCAGUUUAAAAUCUUCUCACGAGAAGAGCAGCAUCCUUCACUCAUUUGUCCUUUCACUGAGGGUGCACUACAUGUACUCACUGUGCUAGAUAUUGGGAAUACAGGGCUGAGUGAGACAUGGGCAGACUCCCUGAGAGGUAACACUCAGACUACAUCUCAAAGGAUAACUAGAUAUCCGCCAAUCAAGAUGGAGCAGCAGGCCAGGUAUACAGGCUCAGCAUCACUUUGGGCGUUGCUUUAUCUUAAAAAGCUGCCUGAACCACUUAAAGGGACCCACUGCUGCCUUCAAAAGAGUACAGUGAUAUGCAUCUUCCUGAGGUCUUUCUAAGCCACUUCUGGAGCUAGAUAUAUGUUUCUCAGAUGUCUCUGAAACAAGGUUUCCAGGCAACUACAUCUGAGGCCAUUGGUGCUGCAAUAUGACUGAAAGGAAAGAGGGUGUGUACUUCAACAGCCUUGCUGUAAGCAAGGUGGCUUCAUCCCCUCCCCCCACCUGAAAUUGAGAAACACAGAAGUGACCACAGUCCUAGGCCACUGUGUGCAAAAAUGGGAAAUGUCACUCAUCAGGUCCUCUCCCACGUUUAACCAGAAUCAUCAGCCUAUAGAUUCGGGAACUGAGUGGCUUGACCAUUUUGCACGUAAGCCAUAUGCAAUUGGUCCAAAGGAGACCAGUGAGCAACAAUUCAAUUUAGAGUUCACUGAACUCUCUGGUUUGGGAAGGAAAUUGCUAGUAAUCAAUUGCAGCAAGCAUACAGGCUCAGGGCCAGGAAGAGAAAAAUCACUUUAAUGGGCAAAGCAGAUGUUGCUAAAUUCAUUGCAAAAGUGAGAUGGGCACAGAGCCAGGCCUUGCAUGAGAGAUGCUGAUCUGUUCUCCUGAAUGAACAAAACAGAGACAUUUCAAAAAGGGGGGUUUCUAUGAAAGAAGCCAGAGGUCUGUGUCCCUGUUAGAGUAAAUAAAAGAAAAUGCACCCAGGUGUUCAGGUCCCCCAUACCACCACAGGACUUAAAGUUGUUAACAUCUUACGAGGAUUUUUAAACAAAUCCAGAAUACUAGCAAAAACUGCCUGGGGAGUCUUCAUUCGGUUCUAAGGAGAGUAUGUGGUAGAGUAGAGAGAACACGGGCUUUGGCAUCAGAUCUGUUUCUUCCAUGAAUUAGUUGCUUCCACCACCAAGAAGUUGUAUGACUUGGGCAAAGUUCUUAACACCUCUCAGUCUCAGUUUCCUCCACUGUAAAAUGGGCCUAAUGUCAUUUACCUUAUUAGAGCAGUUGUGAGGACUAGUGAUAAUGUCUGUAAAGUAUGGUAGAGAAAUGCACUUAAGCAAUAACAUGUUUUCAGAACCAUGAAAAGACUAGUGACACUAGGAUGUGGGGAGAAUUGGUUAAUGACAGGGCAGGGUGGGGUGGGAUGGGGAGAAUUUCUGGCCCAAUAUUGACCAGCUUUGGCACGUGCUCUUGGUGAAGGAUUACUUCACAGGUCACAUGUUUCUUUGCAUGCUUAGGCUGAUAAAACAUCUCUCAAGAAUAUAAGAGCUCAGCAAGUGUAGGAGCAUAGCCCAAGAAAGGUCACUGUGUGUACUUAGAACAUUUUCAUGGAGUAGCUUCAAAUGCAAGCCUCCUAAAAGAGAGUUGAUUCUGAUUCCCCAAAUCUGAAAUGUUCUUUACUUACCUAAUUCCCACUCAUCCUUCAAGGCCCAACCAGAGUCCCUCCUCUGAGAAUCAUCCCAAAUUCCUCUGGAGCUCACCAUCUCUACCUACUCACAUAUUGCCCAGUUUAUAUCAGCUGCCUUCAAUCCUUCCUGGAACAAGACAUUAAUCCCAUUCAGUAAAAACUUUAAAUGCUACUUACUCAAUUCUUUGGCCUGUCAUAGUAAAGUGUCAUACACUGAUCAUCACCUGAAUCAUGUGGUUCUACCCCAAAUACUUAGCAACUUCCUAGAGUUUAGAUAUUGAACUUGCACUAAUUAAAAUCUCUAAAUCAGAAGGCAGAGAGAGCUGAGGGCUCUGACACUUGACUAGUUGUGUGAGCUUGGGCCAAGUUUCAUGGCCUUCUCAAGCCUUAGUUCUCUCAUCUGUAUACUGGAGAUAAUAAUAGCACCUUCCUCCUAGGACUUGUGUGAGACUUUCGUGAGCUCGGUCCUGCAAAGUGCUCAGCACUACAUUGUUAGCUGAGUAGUAACAGUCACUUUCCUGAAAGCUUCUUCACCCAGAGGGGCUAGCCCAUGCCUGUGCACAAAGAAUGUCAAAUUACAUUCACACCCCCUGAGAUUUCCAAGCUACAGGCCAUUUUCACAGUGGCCACUCUCCAGAAAGCUAAGUCCUGCUGAAAGUAUGUUUCCAAGUUGCCAUCACCUUUAGAAUAUUUCUGAUAAGCAAGCAAAACUGCCUGUGGCCUUUGGCAGUGAAUUUCUGGGGGCUGGUAAGAGGAGGAUGUUUACCAGAGCACAAAGGCCAGGUCAUAAGCAGAGAAUAUUUUGGCCCAGACAGAUCCCAGAGAAGGCAUUUUUGCCAAGCACAGACUCCAUUCUCAGGUCCUGAAGUCAGCAUUAGACACUAAACAAACCUUCCCGGGUUCACAUUUGUUUACUUUUGGCCAAAUGCAACUUCCUGUUUGAAAGGAAAAGGGCAGUAAAGCUUUCUAUAGCCUUCUUGGACAUAAAGGCUCUACUUGAAACAAUUGAUUUGCUAAGGAUAAAUGAAUCAAACGUACACAAUGGGGAUCUCCCCUCCCCUCAAAAUGUUCAUGUUUCAACAGGGAAAGUGCUCAACAAAACCAAAACAAAUAUUUUUUCAACUGCUGGCCAAUGAAGAUUGUUUAGGCCAUUUCUUCUCCUGAGAGCAAGAAAAACAGACAUCAGGAGAGAGCUGAGUUACAUGUGCUGUGUCAGAGAAGUCACUGCGACACACUUGGGGGUUGAGAUUUCAGUUACACAGAAAGUCACAAAGUUGAAGUUCCCACAGCCACUCAAACCACAUUCCCUAGCAUGAACACAGAACAACCAGCUCUUUCAUUACGUGACUACGUCCCAAACCACGUCCUUCAGGAUCCUGAAAUUCCCUCGGAUGCCCAUGCGCCCUGCACCUAGGUUUGAAAACUGACUACCAACCCCACAUAAAUCCACCAUAAGAUUUUACAAGGAUUCAAAAUAACUUACUCUGUGUGAGGAGGUGGGGGAUGGGGAGGGGAGGUCUGUACUUUUAGAGCAUCUAGCAAAGUUAGCAUAAAAUAUAGACUUUAACUUGGGUUUAUAUAUAAAAUGAAGGUGCUCUCUACAAAUCUUGAAUCUCCUUGUCAUAAAAUAUUAAAUUUGUAAAGGACCUUAAAAAUCUUCUGGUCAACCUCCCCCUAUACACAAAUAUAUAAAUAAUAUAGAUGAGGAGUAAAGAGGUCGGGAGACAUUUCCUCCUUAGACUGUAGACGUCUUGCUUCUUAGGGCAAGAACUAUUUUGCUUAUCUUCUUAUUCUUUAACACAGCAUGAACACAAUAAAGACUCAGGAAGAAAGUGACAAAUGAAGAAGUUAAUGAGCUGCCCUGGUCUGCAAAGUCAGGCUCAGCACACAGGACUCUCUCAAUGCUGUGCACUCUGCCCAGUCCUAUCCCUGUAUUUCCACUAGAUUGUAAUCUCCUUGAGGGCUGAAUAUGUCAUUUAUUUGUUUUUUUGGCCAUCAUACCCUGUGCAUUGAA
rnacentral:lncRNA from 1 species